rnacentral:rRNA from 1 species
CCCUUAGAUGUUCUGGGCCGCACGCGCGCUACACUGAUGCAUUCAACGAGUCUAAAACCUGGUCUGAUAGGGCUGGGUAAUCUUUUGAAUGUGCAUCGUGAUUGGGAUAGAUGAUUGCAAUUCUUCAUCUUCAACGAGGAAUGCCUAGUAAACGCAAGUCAUCAGCUUGCAUUGAUUACGUCCCUGCCCUUUGUACACACCGCCCGUCGCUCCUACCGAUUGAAUGUUCCGAUGAAUACCAUGGACUGAGAGUAUGAAUGGGUUCGCCUAUUUCUGCUUCUCGGGAAGUGGAGUAAAUCUUAACAUUUAGAGGAAGGAGAAGGCGUAACA